CAAGCAGGGUGGAAGUAGCCCAGGGCAGGGCAAGGAGCCGGCGCACCAGUGGGUUGAGGGUCAUUACCCCUCCAGUGGGACAGGUCCUUGGGAGUCUGUCCUUAGGGCCCUGAGCUUGGGUCCGGGAGAGAGGGUGGGCCCGGACCCCCCUCCCCACACUUCCGUGGCUGUAAAAGCACCGACAUGGAGAAAGGGGACUGUGACUUGGAGACAAAAGGGGAAAGAAAGGAGGGGGAGCAUGGUGAACCCCCACACCAAGGAACAAAUAUGUUCAGUUACUGGUGAGUGGAAGCUGCUGAACUGAAAUAGCACAGGAAGAAGCAAUUCUUGUGAUAUCCAUAAUUGAAAGGAAGAGGAGAGAACUGGAAAGGAUGAGGACAGCAGGUCACAGUUUAUAUAUGGAUCAGGAAUUGAAGCUGCCUCCAUCAGAAGAAAAAAAGAUUCAUAAGGAUUACUGUCUGCUUCUCUUUACAAGGGACACAUUAUGAAAAGG